rnacentral:lncRNA from 1 species
CCCAACAAGAUUUUUUAAAAAAGACUUUAUUUAUUAGAGAGAGAACAAGCUGGGAAAAGGGCAGAGGGAGAAGGAGAAGCAGACUCCCCGCUGAGCAGGGAGCUUGACUUGGGGCUGGGGCUCCAUCCCAGAAUCCUGGGAUCAUCACCUGAGCUGAAGGCACAUGCUUAACCAACUGAGUCACCCAGGUGCCUCCCAAAGAGAUAGUUUUGACACUUCAAACUACUCAUACGCUACCUACCAAAGGAGACAGACCUAUAGACAGAAAUUGCUACCUAAUGUGAGAACUUUUAGAUUUAAAAACAUGUUCAAAGAACUUAGUACCUUAUACCCCCUUAAUAACAAAGGGGUUUCAUCUAUUUAUAUAACUUGGUGGCUAAUAUGUAACAAUGUAUCUCCUCAUCUAGGCUACACCCCUGCCUUGGAUUUCCUCUUCAGGACUCCUGUUUGCUCCCAAGAGAUUGGGAAGAUACUAUGUAGAUACCCACAAGAGUCCCACUGGCUAGAAAACGAGGUGCAGUAAGGAAGCACCCGAGAAGACCAUCAAUCUGUCAUGUAAAAGGGGAGACGUGGCGGGGGAGAAAGGAGGUAAUUGGAAUUGAGCUUCUCUUGGGACUCUUUCUCCAGCGGGAAGUGUAGCUGGAGAAAUACAGAGCAGAGCCAUCCCAAAGGUAAGGUAAAUUGGGGCUUGUGCCCUGACCUUGGGGAGCAGUGUGGUGAGAAAUGAAAAUCUGCUCUGGCCAUAACAUUUCAGAUAAGCCUCUUUGCCAACUCCAGGUCCGAUCCUGGGUUGGGAUAAAAUUUCCCUCU